AUACGUAGGGUGCGAGCGUUAAUCGGAAUUACUGGGCGUAAAGCGCGCGUAGGCGGCUCGGUCAGUCGGGGGUGAAAGCCCGCAGCUCAACUGCGGAACUGCCUCCGAUACUGCCGAGCUUGAGUGCAGGAGGGGUGAUUGGAACUCCAGGUGUAGCGGUGAAAUGCGUAGAUAUCUGGAGGAACACCAGAGGCGAAGGCGAAUCACUGGACUGCAACUGACGCUGAGGCGCGAAAGCUAGGGGAGCAAACAGGAUUAGAAACCCCGGUAGUCC
rnacentral:rRNA from 1 species